CCUACGGGAGGCAGCAGUGGGGAAUUUUGGACAAUGGGGGCAACCCUGAUCCAGCCAUGCCGCGUGCAGGAUGAAGGUCUUCGGAUUGUAAACUGCUUUUGUCAGGGACGAAAAGGGAUGCGAUAACACCGUAUUCCGCUGACGGUACCUGAAGAAUAAGCACCGGCUAACUACGUGCCAGCAGCCGCGGUAAUACGUAGGGUGCAAGCGUUAAUCGGAAUUACUGGGCGUAAAGCGUGCGCAGGCGGUUCUGUAAGAUAGAUGUGAAAUCCCCGGGCUCAAACUGGGAAUUGCAUAGAUGACGGCAGGACUUGAGUUUGUCAGAGGAGGGUGGAAUUCCAAGUGUAGCAGUGAAAUGCGUAGAUAUGUGGAAGAACACCGAUGGCGAAGGCAGCCCUCUGGGACAUGACUGACGCUCAUGCACGAAAGCGUGGGGAGCAAACAGGAUUAGAUACCCGAGUAGUC
rnacentral:rRNA from 1 species